UACGGAGGGUGCAAGCAUUGAUCGGAAUUACUGGGCGUAAAGGGUGCGUAGGCGGCCUGUUAAGUCAGAUGUGAAAACCCACAGCUCAACUGUGGAACGGCAUUUGAAACUGGCGGGCUCGAGCAUAGUUAGGGAAAACGGAAUUCCACAUGUAGCGGUGAAAUGCGUAGAUAUGUGGAAGAACACCGGUGGUGAAGACGGUUUUCUGGGCUAUAGCUGACGCUGAGGCACGAAAGCUAGGGGAGCAAACAGG
rnacentral:rRNA from 1 species